GAAGCAACAUUUUUCUUUUGUGUAAUUUUCUUGCUUCUAGAGGAAGUUUAACGGAAAAUAUUUUUUAUUAAAAUAUUUAUUAUAUUUUUUUAUAAAUAAAAUAAAUAUUUACUAAAAUUAUUUUAUAUUUUUAAUAGAUCGACCAAAUGUGAAAAGAAUUAGAUGAGAGCUUGGCUACGAGUGUGCACGCUUUUCCAGGCUUUUUACAGAAAAUAGUUAAAAGUUUCAUAGAAAGCAGACAUUGAAACUGGAUGGACAUGAGUAGAAGAAGCCUAUGUUCAACGAGAAGCCCAUUCCAAAAGAGGCCCUGGCUUCAAAUUGCCAUAUACCAAAAAGCCUGUUAUUUAAAAUUGUGGACGACUGCAAGAAAAGCCCAAGUCAUGCGAGAACUGGCCGAGCCAUUAAAGAAAGACCAAGAAACAGGGGAACUAAUUUUUCAUAGGAAGAAGAAAACUGGAAAACCCUGAAAUUGAAGAACAUACAUGCGGUAGAAGAAAUUGGAUAUGUUUUUUCGAGGCAGGUUUCUGUCUUUCCCCAUGGUAAUUGGAGCGGCAGUGAUUGGAAUUGUUUCUGGAAAAGCAAUAUUUGGGCCUCCACUUGAUGAGUACUGGAAAAAGAAGCUUCAGGAAGAGACAGCUGCAAAAGAGACCGACACGAGCUCUACUUAGCAGAUGCUGAGAAAAUCUCAGAGUGCAUGGCAGUGAGAACUGAGAAGUGGGAAGUGGCAUUUCCAGUUUCUUAGCUGAUUUAAUGUAGAAUUAGGACAAUGCAAAAGCUAGUAGUUUGAUAUGCCUAGGUGGUAUGGAUCCCAGCUGCUGCAGGUACGAUAGGAGGAACUCUCUGCAUUAAAUUAAUUGUUUUUUUUUUUUUAAUAUAUUCAAAGCAGAAAGCAUGAUGAACCUCAUCUGCUGAAUGAUUAUUGAGCGUCA